rnacentral:lncRNA from 1 species
CACCUGCUUUUUCGCCUAUAGUUCAACCCAACUGCUUCUUUUCCUUUUUGUUUCUCUUACGAAGAAAGUGUUUCCAUCCCAUCCCGUCUCAGGGCAGGGAUCAUGGCUAGCAUUUCCCGCAUGAACUGGUUCUUUCUUUCAUUCAUUUCAUGUGGUCUUAUUCUUUGGAGAUUAUUACCUUGACAAACCUCCUGCUAAUAGAUACCUGCUUGCUUACUCUUUUAUUGAAUGUGUCUGAACAACAAAGAAGAGCUUUAUCUUCCUAGCGUGUAAAAGGGGCCACUGGCAUAAGCAUCAGAGCAAGAGCGGAUUUGGCCGAACUAUACUACCGGCUUUUAAAGCACUAUUAGCAGUAGUUCCUAUAAAGAAGGGAGGUUUCUAGAGUACUAUUGGCAGUAGUUCCUAUGAAGAAGGGAGGGUUUCGUCUUUCUUCGAAUUCUUCUUCCCCCAUUUGUAAGUCCUUUGUAAGGCAAUCUCUUAGGGAAUGGAGAACGAAGAACAACGCUGCUAAAGGCGAGAAGUCAAGAAACUGUACUAUUGCUGAAGCCGCCCUGCCGCGCUAUUACUAGAGACCGUAGUGGCUUUCCUACCGGCCGGUUACUCGCCACGCUUUCCGCUUCGUGCUAAAGAAAUAGCGUGAUUGAUCAAAGAGGAUAGGCCAGAGCUUUUGCCUUUUCCUUUUUUGAGUAGUUAAGGCCGUCAGUAAGUCUUGGAGGAUUCCUGCCGUAAUAUCAUUUAUAUACGUUUUCUGGUGCCAGCUCUUCAAUCGAUUGCCAGCCGGGGCUCGGUAUUAUAGGGUUUAUAGGAGAAUUCUCUACACUAAAGCUUUCUCCCUAACCUACCGCGGAGCUACUUAACCCGGGGUUUCAACUCUGAUUGAAAGUAUGGUAUCGACAAAUGAAAGCACGAGAAAACCAUAUAUAGAGCAAAAGGAUGAAGGCGAGCGAUACAGAUAGCUGAGAUUGAAGAGCUCGAAGAUAGGAGGAGAAUUAUAGGUUAGGAGUCAAGUAACGAAUUCCAUAAAAAAGGGGCAGGGCUGCCGUCGGGUUUGCUCUAGUGGCAGUUGGGUUAGCGCGUUUAGGUUAGGGUAAGGUAAGGAGGAAAUACAUAACCUUACUAUUAGAUUUGCCUAAGUAUAAUUGUUCUGGUUCUAUUGGAUUUGUCUAAGUAUAGUAUAGUAAAAUUGUUCUGGUUCUAUUGGAUUGUGCCCUGUAGCAUCAACUUCCGUUUUGUUUGACUAUUGGAUUUGCCCUGUAGCAUGUAGCAUCCACUUUUCUUUUUUGUUUGACUUUUUGACUAACAUUACUGUGCUCUAAGUUAUUCAAGCUUCAAGUUUAUGUAGGGUUAGGGUGCGCUCGCGUUAGAGAAGGUUGCCCGAGUACCUUUCCUAUACUUAAGUGAAGCUAUCACAUGACUAACUUAUGGAAUAGAAUGUUGCGUGUGACACAUAUAGAAUCAAAAGCGGAAGUAGUGAAGUAUACUAUACAUAUGCGAUUUUAGCACUAAUGCGCGGAGAUCUUGUAUUGUCAAAAAGAACAUAUAUAUGGAUUUGCUUUUCCAAAGUGUUGAGAUCCCGGGUUGAGUUUUUUCUAUGAGUCAUUACUUCUACGAGAGAAAGUGAUUCCGCAGUCCUACCCUACUUAGGUAAGGCAUCAACCCGAGAGAAAGAAAGAAAGUGAUUCCGCUGUCCUACCUUCCAACGCUAAGGCAUCAACCAUAGCAUUGAAUUCAGGAAAAGCCUUUGAUUCAUUAUGGUUUAGUACCAGUGGCUCAAGGAAUUUGGUUACAACAUUAUUCUUAUAUAUUCUAUUGGCCUUGUUCGGUAAACCAUUAUUAUUAUUAUUAUAUCUAUUUUCUGGGUCUUGCGUAAUAUUCUUCUUUCUUAUAUAUUCUAUUGGCCUUGCUUAAUAUUCUCUUAUAUAUUCUAUUGGAGUUGUUCGGUAAAUAAUAAUGAAUAAUAGGUAGGUUGGUCAAAAGGCAAAGGGGCCAAGC